rnacentral:rRNA from 1 species
UCGGGAAUAUUGGACAAUGGGCGCAAGCCUGAUCCAGCAAUACCGCGUGUGUGAAGAAGGCCUGCGGGUUGUAAAGCACUUUCAGUUGGGAAGAUAAUGACGUUACCAACAGAAGAAGCACCGGCUAACUCCGUGCCAGCAGCCGCGGUAAUACGGAGGGUGCAAGCGUUAAUCGGAAUUACUGGGCGUAAAGCGUGCGUAGGCGGUUUAUUAAGUCAGAUGUGAAAUCCCCGGGCUCAACCUGGGAACUGCAUCUGAUACUGGUAGACUAGAGUGUGGGAGAGGAGAGUGGAAUUUCCGGUGUAGCGGUGAAAUGCAUAGAGAUCGGAAGGAACAUCAGUGGCGAAGGCGACUCUCUGGACCAACACUGACGCUGAGGCACGAA